rnacentral:rRNA from 1 species
GUCUACAGCCAUGCCACCCUGAACAAGCCCAAUGUCUGAUCUCAGAAGCUAAGCAGGGUUGGGCCUGGUUAGUACUUGGAUGGGAGACCACCUAGGAAGACUAGGUGCUGUAGGCA